UACACACCGCCCGUCGCUACUACCGAUUGAAUGAUUUAGUGAGGUCUUCGGACUGGCUGUAAUCUCUACCGACUUGUCGUUAUUGAUGAACGCUGGAAAGAUGACCAAACUUGAUCAUUUAGAGGAAGUAAAAGUCGUAACAAGGUUUCCGUAGGUGAACCUGCGGAAGGAUCAUUACAGAGCAGUGGGGCUACCACGGUGCCAACUCUCUUGUAUCAAAGAACAAUUUAAAAAAAAAAAUUGUUCAUUCGAUAAAGAAAGAAGACAGAAUCCUAGUGUACAGUAAGAWGUCGGUGGCAACAAUAGUUUGAGGUGUAUCUGGUAUUGAGAAGCGUUGACCGCAAUCCCUCGUACGGUAUGACCGGUCAAUCUUCAUGGCAAUAUUAACCUCCAUUGUUGCUUCACUAGCCUCUGAACUACCCAUAUGGGUUUUAUAUCUUUUUUUCUUUCAUCGACAAAUGCAUCAAAAUCCUUGAGCAUGAGAUCAGUAACGAUUGUUUGAAGUGUAUGGGUUCGAAAGCCACCUUUUUUGUACAUACCGGCCCUUUCGGGUUCGAGGCACGUAGGAUGUGAGUGGGUAUAUCCUGCAAGAUCACCGCAAUCCCUCGUACGGUAUGACAGACAGGAUGAGCUGUAUUGACAACCAACGUCCAAUCGUGUAUAAACGGAUAUGAGAAUAUUCGCACUGAUCUUCGGUUGAUUGAAUAAAUUUUCAGCCAAGGUUGCACGCUAUCAUCACUUUCGAGCUGGGUUGAUGAAGGUGUAUGUUUGAAAUGCGAAAGCCUCUGGAUUGUCGGGCUACCCAAGACACCCGGUGAGAAGGGAGCCGUGAGGUUCUUAACUUAUCGUCAACAAUCCUCGAUGCGAUGAUAUCGUAUCGAGUAACAUGAUUACCCUGAGCGGCGGAUCACUUGGCUCGUGGGUCGAUGAAAGACGCAGCAAACUGCGCGUCGUCGUGUGAACUGCAGGACACAUGAACAUCGACAUUUUGAACGCACAUUGCGGCCCUGGGAUUCCAUCCAAGGGCCACACCUGUCUGAGGGUCGUUCGUUUAAGAGAGCCACUCAAUGGUGGUCUCUCAAUAAAACCUUGUCGUGAAAUUUGAAUCCAUUCAAGGAUGACAAAAAUCACGCGAAACGGGAGUUUCACCCAACCCUCUUUCGACAGAGUGAGGGGUGGCUGUCUCCUGAGAUACUGAUUGGCGUGAAAGGUCUCCUCAUUUAUGAGAAAACUGAAACGUCUUCUGAAAUUCUGUGAACAGCUGGCAAAUGAAAGGCCCAAUACCUAGGGAGCAAUGGCUUUGAGUUUUACUCCCAAAUGCCCGAUCACUCAAUCCGUCAACGAAGUGAAACAAGGUGUAGUGAUAAAAAAGAAAAAUCCCUCAUUCGUUUCGAAAAUAGUGAACGUAAACUGGUAAGGUCUCGGUGUUGCCCUGUCACUGGUUCGACGACGAAGUCCCGAACCCAGUCUCAAUGACAGGCGGCCCAUUCGUGAGCGCCUCACCCUUUUUUCAGGGUCGAGGAAGGUUUUUCGUUCGUCGAAAAGUCGUACGGAUGUUUACGAAAGGAAAUUUCAUCUUCAUUAUUAUCCUUGUCAACUUCAGCGUUCACGAACGCGCGGUGUAUUUGAUGUGUACAAAAGUCGAGCGUGAGGGAAAUCUCAGUCAAGCCAUGAGCAAGACUCUCUGGUUCGAGAUCUUGUCGACUAUUCGUCGUCAGAGGAAAGAACCUUGCAUCGAGCCUCAUAAUGGUAUGUUUGUCCGAGUAUUUUGUCGGCGCUUAAGUGUUUGCUUUUAAAUGAAGAAGACGUCAAAGCUAGUAAUUGAUAAUGAUGAACGACCGAGUCAAUUUGCACGUUGUGUCAACGUCUAAAUAACGAGAACCAACUUAAUACAAUCGACCUCAGAUCAGGUGGGAUUCCCCGCUGAAUUUAAGCAUAUCAAUAAGCGGAGGAAAAGAA
rnacentral:rRNA from 1 species